AACGAAACUCUCACAAAGUAAUCCUUAUUGCGGUAACGUCCCACACAAAUGGAGCCCUGGCGUACCAUGAUCUUAUUGAUGUUUAGGAAAGUGGCUAGAUCAAUGGUAGCCAAUUGGCGGUGUUUAAAGGAAAAAAUCGGGACAUCCUGGUCGUGGUUGGCCAGCACAAUUUGCGGAUUACUGUUUAACAGUUCGUAAGCUUGUUGUUUAAGUUGGUGACCAUAAGCCAUCAUUUGGGCAAAAUUAAACUUUUGUUUAAAGAAGCGCAACAGCUUGUUUAAGGCAUAGAUGGCCAUAAUGUUGGGGGUACCGGCUUCAAACUUUAGGGGUGUACUUUUAAAGUGAAUUGUAUUGUCCGGGUCAAUCUGGGUAAAGAUAUCACCCCCGAGUUUGAGGGGUUGUAAUUGGGGUUGUAAGCUUUUUUUAAUGUAAGCUACCCCCAGUCCAGUGGGACCG
rnacentral:sRNA from 1 species